GCAACACUAAAUUAGGUAAUGUGUGGAGCUGGCAGAGUGGCUUCACAGCUGCAGUAAUGACCCCAAGAAGAUGGAUAUGAAUUGAGGUAGAAUAUAUACCUUUGGAAGCUGAGGCAGAAUUUAGCAGCAGUUCUCCAACACCAGUAACAGUCAUCAAGCGAUUGGUAUAACGCAUCUUGGGAUAUAUGUGAUCGUUGAAUGUGGCCGAUGACUUCUGAACCUCCUGUGGGUGUUAUUUUAUAUCCAUCAUCUUUGUG